rnacentral:rRNA from 1 species
GAAUUCUUACCGACNGCNCGAGUAAUGUCAUCUAAAAUUGGGACGUUGGUAUCCAUGGAUCUCAGCAACUCGGACCGCUGUCGUGAGCAGCCUAACACAUGCAAGUCGAACGCGAAAGUCCCGCAAGGGAUAAGUAGAGUGGCAAACGGGUGAGUAACGCGUGGGCGACCUACCUUCGAGUGGGGGAUAACCUUCCGAAAGGAGGGCUAAUACCGCAUGACAUCCCGUGUUUGGAUACACGGACAUCAAAGUCGGGGAUCGCAAGACCUGACGCUUGAAGAGGGGCCCGCGUCCGAUUAGCUAGUUGGUGGGGUAACGGCUCACCAAGGCUCCGAUCGGUAUCCGGCCUGAGAGGGCGGACGGACACACUGGAACUGAGACACGGUCCAGACUCCUACGGGAGGCAGCAGUGGGGAAUUGUUCGCAAUGGGCGCAAGCCUGACGACGCAACGCCGCGUGGAGGAUGAAGACCUUCGGGUCGUAAACUCCUUUCGACCGAGAUGAAUUCCUACCGACCUAACACGCCGGUGGGGUGACAGUAUCGAGGGAAGCAGCCCCGGCUAACUCCGUGCCAGCAGCCGCGGUAAUACGGGGGGGGCAAGCGUUGUUCGGAAUUACUGGGCGUAAAGGGUUAGUAGUGGC